GACCCUGCACACUCCCCGGUUUCACAGAAUCACAGAAUCGAUUAGGUUGGAAAAGUCCGCAGAGAUCGUCGUGUCCAACCACGUCCAGUCUUUCCUUAAACACAUCCAGCGAGGGUGAUUCCAUCACCUCCCCGGGCAGCCCAUUGUAAUCACCAUUUCUGUGGAGAAAUUCCCCCUAAUUUCACAGAAUCACGGAAUUUAGGGAGUUGGAGCGGCCCACAAGGACCAUCGAGUCCAACAUCUGGCCCUGCACGGGUCCAGCCUAACCCUCCCCUGGCACAGCUUUAGGCCUUGUCCCCUCGUCCUGACGCUGCUCGCCUGGAGAACAGCGAGCUACACCUGGCUACAGCCUCCUUUCAGGGCUGGAUUCGGCAGGUGGAAGCCCGAGGGCCAGGAUAGCCAGGCUGUGGCUGCAGCUGCUGCCCACGGGGUGCCAAGAUUCCUCUGGAAGCAGCAGCGAUUCCCCCAUGGAACAACUAUCCUAAAGAUGUAAAGCACAGUUGUGUGCGCUGCUCUCAGGCAGCUGCUUCCAUGACCAAAGCCCUGCUGCCUCCUGACGUGACCCGUGUCCGAUCAGGAGUUUAAAGGGAUCAUUUGCUCCAUGCAGUGCUACUGCCAGUCUCUGACCUUUGAUGCAAUUCGGCAAAUCAGUUGGCUCUGAUUACAAAAGCCUUUGAAACUUUAAGUGCCACUACCAUUCCACCUCAUGCUGUCUGCCGGACACCAGAGUACUUGAAAACAGACACCUGAGAGAAAAAUGAGAGCCAACACAAUUUCCAUAGGAGCUUAAGGAGGUCACUGUCAAGUUUGUCCUAUAUAUUUUUGAUGUAAAGAAGCUAUUAUUUUGUUGGAGUGAGGUUUUCAGUUGAUGCAAAACCCAGCUACUUCUGGCCAGAAAAGCAACAGAGAAACCUUUCAGACGUCUCACUGUACAGCUCUACUUGUGGAACAAGGGCUUAGGUUCUCAUGGGUCCCAUCUCCAUGUGCCUUCAGUCUCUGCUUCUGGAAACUCCUGAGAGCCGUUCAGCCUUUUACCUUUCAGGGCUUACACAGAGCCAAGCCUUUUCUCACCCCACCUCAGCAAUGAGGGGGCUGGGGGUGCAUAAGGAGUUGGGAGUGGACACAGCCAGGACAGGCGAUUCCAAAUGACCCAAGCAAUAUCCCAUAGCAUAUGGAGUCACACUCAGCAUGUAAAGGUGAGGGAAAAAGGCAGAAGGGAAGGACAUUCAGAGUGAUGGUGUUUGUCCUCCCAAGUCACCUGCUCUCCUGGGGGGUCACUGAACACCUGCCCAUGGGAAGCAGUGACUGAAUUCCUCAUUUCCCUUUGCUUGCGUGUGGAGCUUUUGCUUUACCUAUUAAACUGUCUUUCUCUUAACCUAUGAGUUUUCUCACUUUUAUGAUUCUCUCCCCUUUAACCAGGGAAGAGGAGUGAGUGAGGAGCCUUGUGGGACUGAAGUGCUGGCUGAGGUUAAACCAUGACACAGAAUUAACAAAUGCAGGACCACAGUGGCUUUUCAUCAUGUCCCUUCAUACCAAAAUGCUCAUUGACAUCUUGGGCAACAGCAAAAGCUGGGGAUGAGAUGGCAGGACCAGCUCUGAAAUCAGCAGUUCUUCUGAGAUCUGUGUCUGCUCAUCUGCCUUCCCCAUCCCCAGCAAGCAUACAAAGGGCACUUUAAAUAUAACCUUGGUCUCUGGUACAGAAAUAAAUCAUGAAACAUGACCCUCAUGCCAGUCAAAGAAGGAGCAUUGCAAUUCCUACUGCAAAUUCCUACUGUUUCGUGAGUAUUUCGCUUUCCUUGAAAUGACACUGUGAGUGCCAGCUCCACAAAGAAGAGGAGCACAAAGCACGAGUACAAGCCAAGUCCAGCUGAAACUCUGCAGCCUGUGGGUGACAGAUGAGAUCUUUGCUGUUGCAUCCUGUGUCUGGCCAGGGCUGUGGUUUCCCCCAGCAGUAGCUCUCACAGGGAUUGUCUGCACAGUGUCACGGGAGCCAAGAGCUGGAAAACACAUUUUAAAUUACUUGCUUCAGUUUGGUCCCUGAGGGAAACCCACAGGGUGGUGCCUGCAGGCAGGAUUAGUUCAGGUGUCUGGGUUCCCAGGAUAUACCACUCUCAGUAAACUCUGCCUUGGCAAAACAUCUGUGCAUGGGAAAAAAGUUCUAGCAGAAAGGGGAAUUUUUCAACUCCUUAGCUGGGAGA